CUCUGGUGUUCCGGUUGUCACGCCAGUGGCAUUGCCGGGUAGCUAUGUUCGGAAAAGAUAACCGCUGAAAGCAUCUAAGCGGGAAACUUGCCUCAAGAUGAGAUCUCACUGGAACCUUGAGUUCCCUAAAGGGCCGUCGAAGACUACGACGUUGAUAGGUUGGGUGUGUAAGCGCUGUGAGGCGUUGAGCUAACCAAUACUAAUUGCCCGUGAGGCUUGACCAUAUAACACCCAAGCAAUU
rnacentral:rRNA from 1 species